rnacentral:rRNA from 1 species
AUUGAACGCUGGCGGCAGGCCUAACACAUGCAAGUCGAACGAGCGGCGGACGGGUGAGUAAUGUCUGGGAAACUGCCCGAUGGCGGGGGAUAACUACUGGAAACGGUAGCUAAUACCGCAUACCAUCGGAUGUGCCCAGAUGGGAGUCGCUAGUAGGUGGGGUAACGGCUCACCUAGGCCACGAUCCCUAGCUGGUCUGAGAGGGUGACCAGCCACACGGGAACUGAGACACGGUCCAGACUCCUACGGGAGGCAGCAGUGGGGAAUAUUCCGCAAUGGGCGCAAGCCUGAUGCAGCCAUGCCGCGUGUAUGAAGAAGGCCUUCGGAUUGUAAAGUACUUUCAGCGAGGAGGCGUUACCCACACAAGAAGCCCCGGCUAACUCCGUGCCAGCCGCCGCGGUAAUUC